rnacentral:rRNA from 1 species
GACGAACGCUGGCGGCGUGCUUAACACAUGCAAGUCGAACGGAAAGGCCCUGCUUUUGUGGGGUGCUCGAGUGGCGAACGGGUGAGUAACACGUGAGUAACCUGCCCUUUACUUUGGGAUAACUUCAGGAAACUGGGGCUAAUACCGGAUAGGAGCUCCUGCUUCAUGGUGGGGGUUGGAAAGUUUCGGCGGUUGGGGAUGGACUCGCGGCUUAUCAGCUUGUUGGUGGGGUAGUGGCUUACCAAGGCUUUGACGGGUAGCCGGCCUGAGAGGGUGACCGGCCACAUUGGGACUGAGAUACGGCCCAGACUCCUACGGGAGGCAGCAGUGGGGAAUAUUGCACAAUGGGCGGAAGCCUGAUGCAGCAACGCCGCGUGCGGGAUGACGGCCUUCGGGUUGCAAACCGCUUUCGCCUGUGACGAAGCGUGAGUGACGGUAAUGGGUAAAGAAGCACCGGCUAACUACGUG